AUGAUGCUCAUGCUAUGCACAUGACUAAUGCAACCAUAACACUGGGGUGUUACAAUAAUCUUAAGUAACGGUAGUUAGGUACGCCAAUCGAUAGUUCAUGAAUGAAGAAGUAAUAUAACUGCAAGCGGACAGAACAAUCAUUGUAGCAUUUCAACCCGUGAGUAUUCAAGGGUGUCGAGUUUAUAAUUCCCGUAGGAAGGCAAAGGGAUCAAACAUGGUGUAAACAUGAUUACUUAUUAAAUGCUUGGUAGACAUAGAGUAAACAGGAAUAAACAUGAUAUUCAAGAUAGUGGACACACAUUGGAUCAACCUCAAGAAUAAAACAGAAGAGAAAUAAUAAAUAAAGAAUAAAGAAAU
rnacentral:lncRNA from 1 species